CCUACGGGAUGCACCAGUGGGGAAUAUUGCACAAUGGGCGCAAGCCUGAUGCAGCCACGCCGCGUGUGUGAAGAAGGCCUUCGGGUUGUAAAGCACUUUCAGCGGGGAGGAAGGCGGUGAGGUUAAUAACCUCAUCGAUUGACGUUAUCCGCAGAAGAAGCACCGGCUAACUCCGUGCCAGCAGCCGCGGUAAUACGGAGGGUGCAAGCGUUAAUCGGAAUUACUGGGCGUAAAGCGCACGCAGGCGGUCUGUCAAGUCGGAUGUGAAACCCCCGGGCUCAACCUGGGAACUGCGUUCGAAACUGGCAGGCUAGAGUCUUGUAGAGGGGGGUAGAAUUCCAGGUGUAGCGGUGAAAUGCGUAGAGAUCAGGAGGAAUACCGGUGGCGAAGGCGGCCCCCUGGACAAAGACUGACGCUCAGGUGCGAAAGCGUGGGGAGCAAACAGGAUUAGAUACCCUUGUAGUC
rnacentral:rRNA from 1 species